CCGCACAAGCGGCGGAGCAUGCGGAUUAAUUCGAUGCAACGCGAAGAACCUUACCAAGCUUGACAUAUACGAGACGGCCAGAAAUGGUCAACUCUUUGGACCACUUGUAAAACAGGUGGUGCAUGGUUGUCGUCAGGCUCCGUGGUCGUGAGAUGUUGGGUUAAGUCCCGCAACGAGCGCAACCCUCGUUCUAUGUUGCCAGCACGUAAUGGUGGGAACUCAUGGGAUACUGCCGGGGUCAACUCGGAGGAAGGUGGGGAUGACGUCAAAUCAUCAUGCCCCUUAUGUCUUGGGCUUCACGCAUGCUACAAUGGCCGGUACAAUGGGCAGCAAUACCGUGAGGUGGAGCGAAUCCCAAAAAGCCGGUCCCAGUUCGGAUUGAGGUCUGCAACUCGACCUCAUGAAGUCGGAGUCGCUAGUAAUCGCAGAUCAGCAACGCUGCGGUGAAUACGUUCCCGGGUCUAG
rnacentral:rRNA from 1 species